rnacentral:lncRNA from 1 species
AAUUAGCUAAACAAAGAAAUCAUGGCGGAUUGUUUACAUUUGGCAGCGCCCGGGCUGCGCCGACCGCCGGCCCCGAGCCGCCGCGGGCUCCGAGGAGUCGGCCGAGCUGCUCCCGCGCCCUGGCCGGGGACUUACCAAUUUGGGAUUCUUCCAGGAGCUGAAAACUGAUUGCAAAUAUGAAACAGAUUUCACUACAGGACUUGAACCCUACAUUAAAAAACAACAAGCUCCCCAAAAUAAUUGAAAAAGAUCUUCACCAAAGAGUAGCUGCAAUGUGAAUGGCAGGAUAUGAAGCAAGUAAGAGAUGGUGAAAAGAUUAUCUUAAGCUUGGAAUUAAGUGAUGAAAGGGACCUUCGAAAUUAUCAACUCUAAAUACUUCUUUACAGGAAAAUUGAAAGCAGUUAAGAACCUGCCCCCUACCGUGGAGUUCUUGGUGCCGUGAGUUGGAGUUCUUGGUGCCUGGGUGCGUCCCCAAGGCCACUGGUCUUCAGAUCUUUCUUACUUGAGAAGAACGCCUCCGCCUCCUGGCUCUCCCACCAGUGGUAUUGCCACCACCACACACCAGCAUAAAGCACAGAUUGCUGCCCAGCUCCUUGGAGAGGGGCCAGUGCAUUUGUCAGGAAUUGAAAAGUUUUGGAGCCAGUUCGAGGACUUUCUCCUGCACAAAGUGUUGGCUGGAAGCAUGAUUAUCUCACACAGAGCGUUGGAAUUACUUCAUGAUGAUUUCAA